ACGUGGAGCCAGGGAUGGAUCUCUCUCUCUCCCUCCCUCCCUCCCUCCCUCCCUCCCUCCCUCUCUCUCUCUCUCUCUCUCUCUCUCUCUCUCUCUCUCUCUCCUCAAAGUUCUUCCCUGUCCCCACUUUGCUGAAAGCCAGUUCUCCUGGACCCCCUUCCACGGUGCAAACAGCGAAUUUGCAUCAGUGGCUGUCUUCUGCAGGAAGUGACCGAACACCAACUCUGCAGGAGAACUCUCGCUAAAUCCGGCAGGGCAGAUGCUCGGCACAUACACUGGUGCCUCGCUGACUCUCCCAGAGGGAGCCAGCCGAGCAGGCUCAGUAAGGACCCCCCCCACACACACACUCAGGAGGUAGCUCUUCCCGGCAGGGGUUUGUGUUAGUGGAGCACUGUUCGUUCAAGAAGUGGGAACUGCGGCUCUCAGUAAUGUUGGCAAUGAAAACAGGUUCACGUGAGCGCUGGAAGUGAGCUGCCGUCCAUUCACAUGAACUUCUUCCUGAGAACGAGCAACACAGUCUGGUGAUUUCAGUCUGGGGCUUUCGGAUUGUCCCUUAGUCCACAAGCUUCACCCACAGCGACCACCAGCCAGAGCCGCUCUAAGGACAACCAUAAACAGAAGGUACUGGAGAGGCCUGCAUGAGUCACCAGAAGCAAAGCUUUGUCCCUGAGUCCAACAGAAGUUAUAAAAGCCUUCAACUUUAUCCACCGACUCAUGAGUAAAUUUUCUUGUGGAUGGUGACCAUCAAAAGAGGAAGACGUUAUUAUUAAAAUGGCUUGAUCAGGUGGUGCUGUCUACACGCACAGUUUUACCGCCUGAAUGGUGCUUCCAUCAUGGGGUCAGUUGUGUUAAGGUCUGGGGGCCUGUUGCAUUCUGGACUGUGUCAAGCCUGAGACCUUUGCCCAUGACCUUGGGCUCAUAGAACCCGAAGGAGGCAGUGCUUCCUGCCUUGUACAUGACCUCUAAAAAGGAGCGGGAGAAGGGUCACGUGCCCCUUCUCCCUGCUCCUGCCUGUGAGGUGGAUUCGCCCCUGGUCAGAUCAGAGGAUGACUUCAGCUGUCUACUCUGUUCUGUAUUCGUGAGUGUAUUUCCUCAAUUUACCUUAAUAAAAUUCCCUAAUACUUCUUAAACAUACUCCCAUGGAUUUAUCACUUUAUCUGGCACCCAACCACGUGGAUCUGAACCCCAUGAGCCCCUACUGGGACUACUGGUGGGACCAAACCCUAACACCCGUGGGUGGCUGCUGGGGAGGUUCUCCGCCCUGCAGAGCCUGCACAAACUGCCCCGCCCCUCCGGAACUGCCUGACUCCUGCUCAAGGGACCGCCUGAAUACAGCGGCCAUGCUGGGAGCCUGUAGGCCAGGCAGCGGUUCUUGUAACCACUGCCA